CUUUUGUCCUUGCAGGCCUUCCAAGGAGGGAGAGCAGCAGCCCAAUAUGGUGGGCUGGAUCGUCAGUGGGAUUGAACGUAUUUUGCCUCAGCCUGUACAGAAGCAGGAUGCCAGCAGUGACGAGGUGCAGAGCGGUAAGUACCACCUUUCCACUGCUUUCACAUGAACAUUAGGAUCUACUGAGGUUGGGAAUCAGCAUCACUGAUAUUUUAGAGACUAAUUCCGCGUAGUUGUUGGCAGCUGGCUCUUGUUAAUAUACAGAUUAAAUAUAGAGGUAAUGUACAGAUGCCACAGACACAACUUCUGGGUACACUUCACUAUGAAGUUUGGACUAAAGAAUUGUUAAGAGCUUGAAGUAACGGCCUGCCAAACCAGAUGGUUGUGUUGGAUGUAAAUUAAACAGUGACGGUAGUUUUCUGUUACUGUUUACAAUGUUCCCAUUUUAAAAGCAGAUUUGCAGAAGCUGAAAGUUUUUUCUGACCUCCAGUGGUUUAACUUCUCACCUGGUGAUGAUGUAGAAGUGUACUCCAGGGCAUGUCAGUACUCUGUGACAUCACCCAACAUGGGUGGGGUUACGGGUGUCAGCCUUGUGUUAAAUUAUUUUUUGCAUAAACACAUGCAUGGAUGAAUUGAUUGAUUGGUUGAUGGGUUGUCCUAGCUGUGUACUGAUUGGCAGGGGCUGGUGUCAGUGGUGAGGCGGACUCUAACCGGGCUGCUCUUCUCCUUCUGUUUCAGGGGGGAAAGGCGGCAAGAGCCCCUUAAAAUAAAAGGAGAAGGAAGAGUGGGACAGAGUCGCUCACACUGACACUGACAGCUACAGAAACUCUUUAACUGACUGAAGGACAGACAGACAGACAGACCGACAGACAGACAGACGGAGCAGUUUGUACUCCUCGUGAUAAAAAGCUGCUCCACAAAGCUGCAGUGCUUUCAGGUUUUGUACAGCUAUUAUGCACAAGUAACUUCUCUUACCAAACAUUUCUGGAAAAACAAAAAUAUGAUGUUUUUUAAAUGUCUGAUCGACACAUAUUUGAACAUGUUUAGACCAAAAUGAUUGUAUGAGAUUAGCCUCUUUGACUCUCUCUAACGAUGAAUAUACAGUGGCAGACAAAACAACACAAGUCUCUGU
rnacentral:lncRNA from 15 species